rnacentral:rRNA from 1 species
GCCAGACUCCUACGGGAGGCAGCAGUGGGGGAUAUUGCACAAUGGGGGGAACCCUGAUGCAGCGACGCCGCGUGGGUGAAGGAGCGUUUCGGCGCGUAAAGCCCUCUCGGCAGGGAAGAAGGAGGACGGGACCUGACUAAGAAGCCCCGGCUAACUACGUGCCAGCAGCCGCGGUAAUACGUAGGGGGCAAGCGUUAUCCGGAUUUACUGGGUGUAAAGGGGGCGCAGACGGCAGCGCAAGCCAGGGGUGAAAGCCCGGGGCCCAACCCCGGGACUGCUCUUGGAACUGCGCGGCUGGAGUGCAGGAGGGGCAGGCGGAAUUCCUGGUGUAGCGGUGAAAUGCGUAGAUAUCAGGAGGAACACCGGUGGCGAAGGCGGCCUGCUGGACUGCGACUGACGUUGAGGCCCGAAAGCGUGGGGAGCAAACAGGAUUAGAUCCCCCAGUA